rnacentral:rRNA from 1 species
AACCUGGUUGAUCCUGCCAGUAGUCAUACGACUCGUCUCAUAGAUUAAGCUAUGCAUGUCUAAGUAUAAAUACUUUUACUUUGAAACUGCGAACGGCUCAUUAUAUCAGUUAUAGUUUAUUUGAUAGUCCCUUACUACUUGGAUAACCGUAGUAAUUCUCGAGCUAAUACAUGCAUCAAUACCCAACUGUUCGCGGACGGGUAGUAUUUAUUAGAUAGAAACCAACCCUCUUCGGAGGCGCUCAGGUGAUUCAUGAUACACUCUGCGAAUCGCAUGGCCUCGUGCCGGCGAUGGAU